AUUUUCUUUAAUUUUUUGGUUUCAAAAGGAAAAAGGCCACAUUUUAGUGUUUUUUUAAAUUGCUAGGAUGGCAAAAACUUGUGUCGUUUGUGCCGCAUCAUGAUAAAAAGGUGAUUCAAGCCGAUCUUUUCACAAGAUUUCUGAUGCACUGGUUAAAAACACAGCAGCCGAUAAUUCAGUUAAUUUACCAAGUGAUUUACCCUUCAAAGCUGCAAGGGUAGUUUUCCUGAAGAGUGCAAAAACUUCUUUAGCUUCCAAAAUGGUAUAUAGUACAAACAGUGAAGCUAAUAUAGACAAAUCUGAUCAUUCAUCAUCAACAAUAACUGCAUCUGAGAUUAAUAGUUACUGUGGGGUCUAGGUCAACAAUUACUAUUUCCCAUCCAAUCCGUUUUUGUUUAACUGCUACACAUUCCCUGACUCUGCCAAGGAAAAGGUAAAAAUACACUCAAAAUAGACAUCAUUAUAGCAAAUUUAAAAAUUAUUGUUCAAUUCUUUCUCUAAGUACAAAUAAGACUUUU